GGGGGAGGGGCGCUGUUCCCGGCCCUGCCCCCCUUCCGGGGCCGGGGGGGGCUCGGGGGGCUCCUGGCCCGGCUGCGGGGGAGGGUCCUGGCGGCCGCGCGCUCCCAGUUAUCCCACAGCCUGCUGACCGAGCGGAACUGGUUCCAUUACGCCGCCCGCAUCUGGGACGGGGUGAAGAAAUCCUCGGCCCUGGCCGAGUACGGCCGCUUACUGGGCUGAACUGGGAGCACUGGGAGCCGCCCCCCGCGCCAAUAAACCGCCAAAACCGCCUCGUCUCGCUCUUAAUUAACGCCGGAUGUUAAUUAAUUACCGCCUCGAGGGUUAAUUAGGUGUAAUUCCCCUCAUGGGGGUUUAAUUACCUUGGCUCCGCCCCCUUUCCCCUCACGGCUUCCCGCGAUUGGAAAAGGGCGGGAAGAAACCCCGCGUGACCAUAGAGGCGGGAGGACUUGCGGGGUAGAGCGCCUCCGCGCGCAUGCGCAGAAAUAGAGAAUACUAAGUCAAACCAUAGAGUUCGGGGGGCGUUUGGCAGAGCGCCUCCCACAGGGCCGCUCUGAGGCGGCUUCCGGCGGAGCUCUGAGGGGGCUUCCGGCGCAGCCGUGAGGCGGGAGCGGCCAUGGCGGAGAUCCCCUUCACGCGGGUGGUGUCGGUGACCAGCGCGGACCCGCGUCACCCGGCGGAGAAUCUGCUGAGGCCCGAGGAUGGCGGGAAGUGGAGGGGAGCGGCGGCGGGGGAGAAACAGCUGAGCGUGGUGCUGGAGGUGGGACUGGGAGGG